ensembl:lncRNA
GAAAUAUAUUAAAAACGAGUAGACGUAAAUAAAUAGAAUAGAUGAAAAGACAGAUCAGUUUGCAAGGUUCAUUAAAGGGGGACAUAUAGAAAACAUUUUCUACUGUAUAUUGGGAGGGAAAGAUUGGUAUCACCUCAACAUUGGCGGGGACACGCCCCCCCAAAAGAAUACGUGGUUACGCCCAUAGUUGUAGGAGACACAGCAGCGACGGAGUCGGAGUAGGAGACACAUUUUUCCUCAGGAGUCACGACACAGCAGACACGGGGUUUUCUUUCUUCAAUUUUAACUUUUCUCAGGAGUUUAAGGCCGACGUUUCUGCAGACAUCAUGGCUGGAAAUGCACAGCAGGGCAACCAACAGGCUGUACCACAAGACGUGGUGGCGAGACGAGCGUCCCUGCAGACUUUAAUUGAUGAUGCAUUGCAGGAGCUUCAGAACGUUGUCGAAGGACGGGAUUAAGACAGGUGAGCUGCAUGAUGCUCAUCAUCGAAUGAUCGUUGAGCAUAAGAAGGAGGUGGAAGAGAGGUGUUUGUUCCAUGGCAUUUAUCAGACUUGUCCUCUACUUCUGGAUAUAUUACAGAAAGUCUCGACUUAGACAAAUGGAUUCUGUGAAAAACUUUGAACUGGAUGAGUCCAAGACGAGCACAGGAAGUGGUAGACUGUAUCCUACCUAUAGCACAUUCCCAACACUUUUCACUUAUCUGUACUCCUAACUCCAUUUCCCACGCAUUCUUAAUUUUGGUACUCACCUCACUACCUAACGCCAGAAUAAAAUCAUAAAUCUUAGAUAUCAUUCCUCUCUGAUGUGGAUUGAAGCCACUCAACCCUGUCAAAUGCUUUUUCAGCAUUAAAGAAAUCCCAAUAUCAGUCGAAUGCUUUGAAUAAAUGGUAUUAAAGAGUGUACAGUAGGGAUCUCAAACUCAAUUUACCUGGGGGCCGCUGGAGGUAGAGUAUGGGUGAAGCUGGGCCGCAUCAAGUAUUCCACAAAAAAAGGAUUUCAAGUAUUCCAAAAACAGUACAACCGAUCCAAUCUU